UUUUGUAUUUUAUGAAAAAAACAAUACAUUUAUUAAUUAGCAAUAGAACUGGCUUCACUGUUUUACAUGUUGUAUUUGUUAUGGUAUUAUAGCUGAUCCAUGUCUACUGUAUAGCUGCCCACUAAACAGGGGGCUGAAAAUGAAAGUGUGUUGCUGUAUACAAUACUAGAAACAUAGGAUUUGCCAUAAUGAAUCAGAUGAGUAUUCCAUCUAGUCCAAUAUCUUGUCACAACUGGAACCAGUACUAGCUGCUUUGAAGCAAGGUAGCCAAAAGGACUGUCCACCAUUAUCUUUAUUAAAACUCUUUAUUUAUUAACAUUCUUUAAACAAUGUCUAUAUACUCCUUGCACAUUGGACACAUUUCCAUUCAGGGGUCCUCAUCAUGCUAAUUACUGGGCCCAUUUAUCUUUUACUCUGUCCCUGUGCUGAAUAUAGGAAUGGUGAAAGGACCAAUUGUGACUUUAGUGCAACUUUAUACUCCUUGUGUUUUUGAUCCUGCCGGGGGCCUACUUGGAUAAGUUAGAGAAAUGCCACGGUUGCUCUGAUAUACAUUCUAUUUGCUGUUGACCAUGAAAAGUAGAGAAUAGUUGGACCACAGCAGUGUUCCAAAUACACACACUACACAGGGACUUGGAAGGGGAGUGGUCUAGAGAUGUUUCACUGAUUCUAUGUCAAUUGGGAAACCCCCUGAAGUGGGAUAUUCCCCUGGGCCUGUUGCUGCCCCUUCAAACUGCUGAAGCCACAUAAUUUGGCUGUGGAACAACCGAGAAUUGGGCCCUAAGUGUUCUUAAUUGAUAUAUAUUCUCAGCUUUUUUCUAGAAAAAUCACUGCUGUUAACUUGUGAUCACAUCUGACAGCCAAAAAACUAAACACUUAUUUUUUGCAGGGCUUUGGAGCAAAGCCCAGAGCUGGAGUGCAGAGCAGCUCUGGAGCAGUGUAGCUGCAAGUUUUUGCCUGGAGCUGGAGCAGAGCCAGAGCACAGCUCAAAACCCCUGAUUUUCUGUUCAAGGUCUACAUGUGUUUUGAUAACUAAAUCACUUUCCAGAGAAAUGCUCACAUACCUUCAUAGACUGUACUAUUUGUAAUGCCAAAAAAUCAACAGGCCACCAUACUGCAAAUCAAUGUUAGUACAAUACUGAGAAUAUACACACUCUUUGGCAGUGACUAGAUCUGUCAGAGUACCAUGGGCUGGAGAUGAGUGUAUUUGCACAAGAAGAACUGUAGUAAUAAAAAUAGUUUGCAGGACUUAAAAAGACUUGCACAGGGGAGCACGUAGACUUUAGCAGGACUAAAACUGGCAAACGCAUUCCCACAGGCACAGAGAAAGAUUGGUUUAAAUCUCAAAACAAGAGUUGGCAGGUCAAGAGUCAGUAUUUCAAUGACCCAGACACAUGUGACUGCAGUGAAAUAUAAACUAUGUCUGUCAGCUCCUGGAGGAACCAUGCACCAUGGAAGAUCAUGCCUGGGCUACAGACCAGACCUUAUGAGCCUAACACUGGAAAAACUGAUUGUGAUGGAAGGAUACCAGAAGAGGAAGGAGGACUGAGAAGGGAACAUAGUAACUGCCAUACAUGAUUCAGAUUGGGCAAAUCAAGGUACAUUUAGUUCAGUAUCCUGUCUGCAACAGCAGCCAGCACCAGAUACUUCAGAGGAAAGUGGAAGAAACCCAUAGCAGGAAAUGUAGGAUUAUCAGCUGCAUCAUGAAAGGCUCUUUAUGGGAAACAAUUACAUAGUAUCUGGAAAAAGAACAGCAGUACUAACUGCUCAGUCCUGGUUGGAGCUGGAAGUUUGUCAGAAAAUCAUUCAGAUGAAAAAAGUGUCCUUUUCACAAAACUAAAUUUUUUCAAGAGAAAAUUUCUGUUUACCAAAAAAUGUCUAUUUCUCAUCAGGAAAAAUCAAAAAAGAUGGUUCCUGGUUGGGCCUGGAAGGAAACUGACAAGACACAUGUGACUGCUGAGCAUGUCAGUUUCACUCCGCAGCUGUCUGGGUCCCGGGAGCGACUUUGUUUCAUGCAUUGGGGUUUCCGUCCCAAAGGAAGUUUUUUCGGGAGGAGGCGGAGUUCAUGUUGCAUUUCGAAGCCGCUAAUUUCCCCCGCGGACUGGGAAGGCGGCGCGUGGGGCGGCUCCACCGGCGGGACUGUGCGAGGAACUGCUCAGGUCACCCCGGUCAGAUAUCGGAUCCCCAAGGGCUGCGCUACACAGGAUGUUGUCCACUACCGUGACCUCUUAGGAGGAUGGAAGACUGCUCAGUGUCUUCAAAUAGUGUCCCUUGGGAAGAGAAAUGUCAAUCACAGAUGAACACAUAUGCUGACUCCUCUGCCUGCAAAUCAAGUAUGCUGUAAAGGAGUGUUACAGUUCCUUGCAGAUAUUACUCUGAGCACUUGAGUCCCAGAAAAACACUUACAAGAAUUCCUUCAAAGUUCUGACAAUUUCUAGAGAAGCUGGCCAAGACAGCUGAGUUUGCAUUAGUACUGCUCUAGGACUGUUCAGGGGCCCGACAUGAGAAAUAUAGGACCACCUGUUUAGUAGGGUUGCUAUGUCCUUGAACCCAAGCACAUCAUUUGCUAUGGGGCAAGGCGGGCAGUUGCUCCCCCCGCUUUCCUGACUUUUCAUAGUUCUAUUUGCUCCAUUAUGUCUUCCACUUUUUGCCUGCUCUGUAAUGGAAUGGAAAAUACCUCAUUUAAGAUAGCCUGAGCCAUACUUGGCAGAGCAUUAAAGGAUCUUAUGAUCAACACAUCUGGUGUGUAUAAGCAAGCUCUGUGACCAGUCUAUAUCUGGAACAGAAGUAUAUGACACUCUCCCUUCCAGACUUUUCAGGAUAUACUAUAAUCAUAUAAAAUGUUCUAUAUACUGAUACAACGCCUCCUGCCCCCCUUCAUUUUUUCUGAAAUGAUGCCCUGGCUUGUACCUUAUUUUGGAGCAGCCUAUGUCAGUCUUGAUGGUGGCAGAGAAUAAAUAUAGUCUUCCCAAA